rnacentral:rRNA from 1 species
GUACGUGGCGAAGGUUAAACCCGUGUGGGGAAGCCGUAGCGAAAGCAAGUCCGAAUAGGGCGACAUAGUCGCGUGCUCUAGACCCGAAGCGUAGUGAUCUAUCCAUGGCCAGGGGUGAAGCGACGGUAAGACGUCGUGGAGGCCCCGAACCCACUUGGGUUAAAAACCGAGGGGAUGAGCUGUGGAUAGGGGUGAAAGGCCAAUCAAACUACGUGAUAGCUGGUUCUCCCCGAAAUGCAUAUAGGUGCAGCGUCGCGCGUUUUCUUACCGGAGGUAGAGCACUGGAUGGUCUAGGGGGCCCACAAGCUUUACCGAAAUCAGCCAACUCCGAAUGCCGGUAAGUGAGAGCGCGGCAGUGAGACUGUGGGGGAUAAGCUUCAUAGUCCGAGAGGGAACAGCCCAGAACACCAGCUAAGGUCCCCAAGAGAUUGCUAAGU